UCAGGAAGUCGUGCUGCAGGACGUAGAGCCUCCUUCUCAUCAGAGCUCGUUAGGCCCUCACGGAAGUGAUCCCCACGGAGCUGCUCUUCAAACACCAGGAUCCCAGAGGAACUGCUUCUGUUCCUGGAAGAGUUUCACUCACUAACAUGACUCGUCCCACCUUUUAGAAUAUGAAGUAAACUUAAAGCCACUGGGGACCCUCUGAGGAAAACCAGGCUUUAACAUCUGGGUACUUACAGCAGUUCAUCAUCAUCAUCAUCAUCAUCAUCAUCAUCAUCAUCAUCAUCAUCAUCAUCAGAGGUGCAACCAGGAAAAGUUCAGUGAAAAGUCUGUUGACUACGUUUAAACAGCAAUAAUCUGACUGUUGAUCUUAUUUAGAAUAUAAGAUAUUAUUCCAUUUAUGGUGUUUACAUGAGUUGCCACCAGAAUAAAUAAUUCAUAUUCCUGUUUACAUGUUAUAACAUUACGUCUUCUACCUGUUUACGCUCAAACUCAGGUCAUGUGUCAUCAUCGGUUUGUAACUGUUGUCUGUUGAUGUCACAAAAUGCUGUGAAAAGUCCAACAGGAGUUAAAACGUGAUGAAGACGUAACGAGACUGAGGACAGAAGACAAAACACACGUCUACAGUCUGAGUUUCACCUUAUUCAGGUUAAAGUGAUCAGAAAAUGA